GAGGCACUAGCAAGUGAACCGCCGCCGAUCUUAUCAAUGCCGACGGUUACUGCGGCUUCAUUCAACCGCCUUUGUUGUUCGUGAAUCUCGGCGGUUUUAGUGUGUAUUGCGGCUGCGGUUUUAGUGCAUACCGCGGCGGCUAAUUAUUUCCACUUAUUUCUCGGUUCAAGUUUCACCGUUCCAAAUCCCUAAAUCUGUGAUUCUCACUCACAAGCUUCAUUCCCUAAAUCUGCGAUUCUCACUCCACAAGCUCCAAUCCGUAAAUCUCUCAAAGCUAGUUCAGAUUCAUCUCAAGCUUCAUUCAAAUUUGUUAUUCAACCUCUCAAGCUUCGAUGAACCUUCAAGCUUCGGGUUCAACAUUUAGAUUCAGGCUUUGUUGAACCUUCAAUCUUCAAUCUCCAUUCAAAUUCAAAUUCAAUCUUCAAAAUCCAGAUUAAGCUCAACCUUGUUUUUGAGCAGAUAAAGCUCAACCUUGUUUCUGAGCAGAUAAGUUAUAAUCAGUAACUCUGUGCUAACUAGCCGUCUAUUUCGGUUUGUCAACUUUCAAUUAUUUAUAUAAGCAAUUCUGGAGAGCUUAGGAAAUAAGUUGAAAUCGGUUUAUGAACUUUUCAUAAGUUGCUUCUAUAAGCUCUCACAAGUGUUUAUGCUGAUAGAUAAGCUCGAAUAAGUCGAUUGAAACAGACCUUUAUAUUGUAAUAUUCUUAUGGUUUUGUGUUUGUCGAUGUGAUUUGUUUUUUGUCUUUUUGUUUGUGGAAGGAAAUGCGAUUGGAGUUAUUCCUUAUCGGAUCCGUGUCAAAGAAGAGGAUGGUGAACUCUUUGUUGUUGAUGAAGUUAAUAGCAACAUUGUUCGAAUCACCCCACCACUGUCUCAAUAUAGUCGAGGAAGAUUGGUAGCUGGGUCAUUUCAGGGAUACACUGAUCAUGUGGAUGGAAAACCUAGUGAUGCUCGGUUUAAUCAUCCCAAAGGUAUAUCUAUGGAUGAUA